rnacentral:misc_RNA from 1 species
AACGCACCUUGCACCCUUUGGUAUUCCGAAGGGUACACCCGUUUGAGUGUCAUUGUAAUCUCACUAUGAUUGACUUUCUGGUCUUUCCUAUGUGGACUUGGAUGUUGCCGUUGGAUCUCAAUGGCUCGUCUGAAAUGCUUCAGUGUACCCUGCUUUGCGGCGUAUUCGGUGUGAUACAUCUUCACCGGAGUUGAUCCUUCUGGGUCACGUCUGUAAUGAGUAUGGCUCUAUGCUUCCAACCGUCUGUGACAAGACAAUACUCUGACAAUUUGACCUCAAAUCGGGUGGGACUACCCGCUGAACUUAA